AUUUCGAGGCCCGCCUUUCUAAGCCCUGCGGAACGAGGGGCAGAUGCUGGAAUCCAGGCAUGAGUCUGAGAUCUGAAGAGGCUUCAAUAAGGAUACCAAGUGCAGGUAUCCACUGGCCCUAUUCCUGUCUUGGAGCACCAUGGAGGUUGGGAACCCUUUCACAAGUCAGCCCUCAGCUUACUCCCACGUCACAUCUUAAUCCUUUCAAUCACCAACCAGAGAAAACCGGCGCAGUAGGUUAGACAUCUCAUGUUUGAUCUCUGCAAUCUGAACUGUUUGGGGUGCCUUCCCAGCCCAUUACCUCUUCCUUUGUGUGAGAUCAUCCAACCUCCAGAGGGCGCUGCAGCACCUGUACUUAGCUAUUCUUUCUCACCCUUCUGUGACCACAGCUUACUGGGUCAGGGGAGUAGAUUCAACCCCAUCAGGCCAUUGGCUUUGCUCCUGGGAAUUUAGAAUGGGAUCCAGACAUGCACAGAGAUGUUGCCUGACCUGAGCACAUGGAAAUAAAUAUGCAGGGAAAAGCAGAGAUAAGCAACCAUGUGGGGGAGGGAGGGUAAAAAGAGGGGAAAGGAGAGAGACAGAAAGACAGAGAGACAGAGAGGAGAGUGAGAGAGAUAACUAAAGAAAAUAUAGGGAGAAGAGAAAGCAAUGGAGAGGGAAGAGAGAGAUAGGGAGAAAGAUAAUAUGGAGGAAUAGAAACAGAAAAAGAGAGAAAUAAGUUUUUUUUAAAUCUCUGGAGACCUUUCAGUCCUUUGGUCCCUGAAAU